AACGGGGUUUUUUGAGGAAAUGGCGACUUUCGGUCAAAAUGACUUUUGGAACUUUAGGGGCCGGACGGGUGAAGUAACGCCUGGACCAACCUGCCUUUCCGAGGGGGGAUUACAUUUGGAAACCAGAUGCUUAUUCCCGCAUAAGAUUACAGUACGGCAUGAUACAGUGAUCAAAGGAGCAAUCCGCUGAAAGAUGGGCUCGCGUCCGAUUAGAUAGUUGGUGAGGUAACGGCUCACCAAGUCGACGAUCGGUAGCCGGACUGAGAGGUUGAACGGCCACAUUGGGACUGAGACACGGCCCAGACUCCUACGGGAGGCAGCAGUGGGGAAUAUUGCACAAUGGGCGAAAGCCUGAUGCAGCAACGCCGCGUGAGGGAAGACGGUUUUCGGAUUGUAAACCUCUGUUUUCGGUGACGAACAAAUGACGGUAACCGAGUAGGAAGCCACGGCUAACUACGUGCCAGCAGCCGCGGUAAUACGUAGGUGGCAAGCGUUAUCCGGAAUUACUGGGUGUAAAGGGAGCGCAGGCGGGAUAGCAAGUCAGCUGUGAAAACUAUGGGCUCAACCCAUAAACUGCAGUUGAAACUGUUAUUCUUGAGUGGAGUAGAGGCAAGCGGAAUUCCGAGUGUAGCGGUGAAAUGCGUAGAUAUUCGGAGGAACACCAGUGGCGAAGGCGGCUUGCUGGGCUCUAACUGACGCUGAGGCUCGAAAGUGUGGGGAGCAAACAGGAUUAGAUACCCUGGUAGUCCACACUGUAAACGAUGAUUGCUAGGUGUGGGGGGUCUGACCCCCUCCGUGCCGGAGUAACGCAAUAAG
rnacentral:rRNA from 1 species